rnacentral:sRNA from 1 species
CGGCAGUGCCUUUCUGAACUGGGACCGAUUGAUGCGUAAGGAACAACAAUCAUCCCAGCUCAGAGGGCACUUUCAUCGUUUCGACACCCCCACUGGACUCAAUUGAUCCGUGGAUCGAG